AGCGGCGGACGGGUUAGUAAUGUAUGGGGCUCUGCCUGAUGGAUGGGGAUAACUACUGGAAACUGUAGCUAAUACCGCAUACCCUCAGAUGAACCCAUAUGGGAUUAGCUUGUAGGUAAGGUAACGGCUUACCUAGGAGCCGAUCCCUAGCUGGUCUGAGAGGAUGAACAGACACACUGCUACUGAGACACGGCCCAGACGCAUACGGGAGGCAGCAGUGGGGAAUAUUGCACAAUGGGCGAAAGACUGAGGCAGCCAUGCAGCGUGUAUGAAGAAGGUCGUCGGGUUGUAAAGUACUUUAAGGGGGGAGGCGUUACCGACAGAAGAAGCACCGGCUAACUUCGUGCCAGCAGCCGCGGUAAUUC
rnacentral:rRNA from 1 species